UGCUGGUGGCUUCCACAAACGCGCAUUAUGAACCAACGCUCGCUGAGGUUUUGGCCCCCCUGGGUGGGCAUGGCACCAGCCACGUGGGCCCCAGCGCGGGGCUGUGCAGGGAGGGAGAGAGCACCCGGGGGCUGUUGAGGGCCGCCGGGCCCCCAUGCCACUGUCCCGACAGGGCCCUGGGGAAGGACAAGGGGUCCGGGCUCAAAGGGAGGUGGGAGAUAAGAGGGGACUGGGAGGGAAAGUGACCCGGGGAGAGGCCACGGGGCACGGACAGCGGGCAGAGCGGUAAAUCAGCAGGGAAGAUGCAGGUGGGCGUUUGGGAUCACUUCAGGUGGGAUCGUGUUUGCGGUAGGUUAUUAACACGUAUCGCAUGGGACGAAGCCUCAGAAGGAAACGCGUCUGAUGUUCCAGACAACAAUGAGGGCUCGUCUACUGAGGAAUUAAUUCAGAAUAGCUGCUGCGCUUUAAAUCAUACCUGAGAUUAAUCUGUGCUGACUUUCAAAGGGAAACAAGAAACUGGCGAGCAUCUGUGUCCCUGCCCAGCAUUGUUCUCUAUCGCGGCAGAGAUCUUGUUACAAUUGUCAGGGAGAAAAUCCAGAGUUCCUGGUACCAAACAGUUAAAAAAUAAAUAAAUAAAGACUUUAGUAACCAGAAAGCAGAAACCGUGUCUGGAAUUGUUCGAAAUAAGGCUUGCUUGAAAAUAAAUAUAGAAUUAUUCACCAUGGUAACUAUUGCCCUAUUGCGUUAGUGCGUAUCGAUUUAACAUUAAUCCAAAGACUAAUGCUGUGAAAUAUUUGGUCUCCUUAAUGGACAACUGUUUAGUUAACAAAUCUUUGGGGAGUUGUUGAAUUUUUUGUUUUGUUUUUCUUUAGAUCUCCUCAACCACUUAGGGAAGGAGAUGAUUUGACUCUUAGGGUUACUUAUUUCUAAUAUGGAUCUCUCUUCCCAAUUACGUUUAUGAAUUUAUCCUUAGCGUUGCACUACAGCGAUUAUGCAGGGUCAUUCAAAUCUUUAACUAACGCUCAAGUGCUGCCGUGAGGAAUAAAAGCAAAGACACCAACGUGAUUGCACAGGUAAAUGAGUGGUGCUGGUGUGGCAAGGGGCAAGAUGAUGUUACAGCCCCGAGUACCCAGAGCAGAGCGAUGUGUCUGUGCAAUUCACUUUCGAGGACCUCGAAUCUUGUCAAAGCUCCCCUGGGUCCCUCCCUUUCCACCGCGCGGAAGGAGGUGAGGCGCAGAGAGCUGCCCCGGCUCACCCUGGGAGCUCGAGAAGCAGGAAGCGCCGCUCUCGCGGUGCCCACGCGCUUCCUGGAGCCAGCAGCGGCGCCUCUAGGGAGAACAUAAAAAGAAACCGAGAAAAGCUCAACAGUGACAGGACGCAGGUGCCAAAAUCGACAAAAAUUGGUGUCCAGAAGUAUCGCACCAGCCAGGAGGGUUAGGACGAUGUGUGAACUUGCAUCGGCCUGCAUCUGAAACUGGAGCCUCCCUCCACCAAAGCUCGGCAAACUUGUAAAAACUGCCCCCGAACCAGCAGGCUGAUUCACGGCGAGGGCGGACGUCUUGCACCGGGCGCUUGGCCCAGGGCUCCUCCUGCCUGCCGGGGGCCGCCGGCCCUGACCCCUCUGCCUGUGCCCGGGCUGCUGGGCAAAGCCCUGGGGGCUGCAAAAGGCACCUGGGAUGGAGAGAGGACACAAAAUCCUUCAGUCAGGGCUUGCACAUGCUGCUGAAGAACAGUUUAUUACUUAUAGUUGUGUUUGUGACCUUAUGAUCAUUUUAGGAUGGGCCGCGUCUGUGUCUUAAAAUGUCAGAAAAAAUCUAAAAUGUUGGGGUUGGGUCUCUGAUACUCAGUCGCCAUUUGCUUUACAAUGACACCACCGCGUUUCCAGCUGAAUAAUAACAAAGUGGGUCGGCACAUAACACUGUCUGAAGUGGGCGUGCGGCCCGGGUUGCUGCGUGCGCCUCGCUCUGCCCUGGGAGCUGGCCCUCCCGAGGCGGGCAGGCCCUCGGCCCACUCCUCACCUCCUCACAAAGCGUUUCUACAAAUUUGCCUGGCACAAAAGAAAUUGCAACUGCAGUACCAAGUGGAAGGGACGAAGCCAAAAGGCAGGUGAGCGUCACUCCUCCCACGUCACAGAUGAGGAAACUGAAGCUGGGAGCAGGAUAUAAAAAUAGGGUUGGAAGUGCUUGAUUCCCGCUCCUUGCGUAGGUUUUUUCCAGGUAAUUUUUGGCAAGCCAUUUGUGGACGCUCACAGUGUGCCUGCCACGACUGACGGCAGUCACAGCGAUGAUUUCUUUCCCAGAACCUCGCCACAGCCUGGGAAGGGGCUGAGCGGGCCCCGAGCCCCCAGCGCCCGCCCAUGCUCCCCGCGGGCCGAGGCUGCUGCCUGCGGAGCGAGCUCCAGGAGGGGCUCCCAGAGGGGCUUCCACAUCGCUCCCCGGGCCCCUGGGGUUCGGCAGCGCCUCUGAGCAGCGCCGGGAAGCCAAACCUCGAAGCUUGCUUCCACCCAAGAGGCGCGAUCCUCUGCCGUGGCUCCCGCGGAUUAGUAAGCGCUGGGAGUUACCAUCUGGCGGGUGGCAAGGAGUAAAAGAUUAAACAACCUGGCAAUUCCUCGUUCCUCCUCUCCGGGCGUUUUCUCAGGACCAGACGGGGCCUCCGGAGUCUUUGUGAAGCGCAGGCGCUUAUUUAACGUUGGUUUGUAAAUAAUCGUGGAGAAAGAAAUCCUAUUUUUGGGGAGGGGAGUACGAAUCGAAGCUUCCCCAUGAGCAAAGCGGCGCCGGCCUUGGCACCAUCCAUCCACCUCCGGCUUUGCACAAGGGUCGGGGUUUUCACGGGGGCACACACGGCCCUCGCAGUGCAAUCCUGGGGGCUCGUCGCCAGUCCCCGACCCUAAAUCGCAGCUGUGGGGGCUCACGGGGAGAGGGCACCCCGGGAAGGUGCCGGGGCUGCCUGCAUCUCCCAGGAGCAGCGUUCACCGAGCAGCAGCUCCUUCGCCCCAGCACGGCAAAGCUGCUUCCAGCAUUUGCAUUAUAACCCCCCGCUUUCUCAGGUUUAUUUCAAAAAAAAAAAAAAAAAAGGAAAAAAAAGAAAAGGAAAAAAAAGAAAAGGAAAAAAAAAAAGAAGGUU